AGAGACUUAGGUCUAACCAAACCAAGAGCCUUCAAAACUCUAAAUAAGGGUAACCACCCCCCUAGUCUCUG
rnacentral:tRNA from 2 species